UCUCAGCCAAUCAGAUUGUGGGGUGCGACACCAGGAGCAUGGGCGAGGAUAUGAAGCCAGAGAGCUGGGUGGGGAAUGGAGGGGCAGCAGCUCAGGAGCCCAUUGGCGUGGCAUUGGGACGGGGUGCUUGGGAGAGACCCCACUGGCCACAAUCCCGUAAGUGGGAACUGGAUGAACAUGAGUGAAUGUCACCACAUGCCUGAGGGAUCCCAGCAGGCCAGGGCCAAGGACUGAAGUGAGAUCCCUCCAGCUGGUCCCUCCAGGGCCUGGUGAGGGGAUAUAAGGGGGAUCAUGAUACAGGGACCUCACAACCCGUUCUAAACAAUAGAGGCAAUGUCUUGACUGACAGGUCUGGGAGGAACUGUCCGGGCUCCCCUCGGAGAGACGCUCGCCACGGUCACACAAUCUGCACGGGGCCAGGAGGCAACCAGCCCUGCGAACCAGCUGCCCAGCUCCCCCAGAGGGGCCUGAUCCCAGCCCAGCGCUCGCCCGGAGCCCAGAUGGAGCCAGCCGCUUCUCCCUCUACUGAGGCACCGCAGCCCACAGGGCAUCUUCAUGGCAGCGAUGGGCCUGGCACAGCCCCAGAUUCAGCCAGCCGGAGCCGGGGGGCAGCUCCUCCUGCCCCACAAGGACCCCUUGCUGCAGCUGUCAUGAGCCUCUGCCGCUACCUCUGCCUUCGCUUGGAGCUCUCGCCAGGGAGGGGCUGCUGCUGGCUCUGCUCUGAGCUCUGCCUGAGGAUGGGGGAGCCGCGCUCGGCCCCUGGAGGGGUCAGGAACCGAAGAUUUCAACCACGCUCCGUGCCUUGCUGUGAACGUCACAUUGCAGCUGCCACUGGGAGAUGCUGUCAGGGCCAAUCCCCCGCUCCCCACAGAGCCCCAGGAUGACCCUGAGAGCAGCGAUGUGGAGGAGAUGGAAGUGGAGGAGAUGGGAGAACAAGAGGACGAGGAGAUGGACGUGGAUUAGAACAUCGCUCUGAAUCUGAUCUGUCUAGUGCUGGAUGUGCAGAUGGACCAUAGGAUGUGCCCAUGUGGGAGGGGCAUUGUUUACAGACCUAGAUAUCUCAGGGAUUUUUUUAAUGUAUUUUAUUAUGUUCUCCUUUGCACUUACAAGACUUUAAGCAGAUUAAUGAAUGUUCUGUUUCCAGUGGUGUCACCGUGCCGACAGCUCUGGGAUUCAGACACGGUACGGGUGGAGUAGGGUAACAUGCAUCAAAUCUCUUCAAUCCAGACAGCGUGAGCAGAGAGCAGACGAACGAUCGACAGGCUCUGUGUUGACCUGGUGUGAGUCAGAGCAGCCUUGAGGCUGCUGUAACAUUCUGCUCCCCAGCGGCCCAGGAGCAGAGCACGUGCCGAGCCUUCACACCAGCCAGGGAGACGCCUUGUGCAGGGGAAUUUUCCAGGGCUGUCUACACCCAUUUUAAAUCCCCUUUGCCUCCCAGAGUUACCUAAUGGGGCAGAAUGGGACUGACUUCAGGCAGCAGUUUGGUCUCAAAGCCAGUGAGAACCAGCAGCUGCCCAGGCCUGGCUGUGUCUGACACCCGUAACUAGGGUGACCAGAUCACCCAAGUCAAAUAUCGGGACACGGGGGAGGGCAAAAAAACAAAACCAUCCCUCCCCCUCCUCCACAAGCGCUGGAGGGAGGCCCCGGAGACGCAGG